rnacentral:rRNA from 1 species
CCCUUAGAGUUUGAUCCUGGCUCAGAUUGAACGCUGGCGGCAGGCCUAACACAUGCAAGUCGAACGGUAACAGGAAGCAGCUUGCUGCUUCGCUGACGAGUGGCGGACGGGUGAGUAAUGUCUGGGAAGCUGCCUGAUGGAGGGGGAUAACUACUGGAAACGGUAGCUAAUACCGCAUAAUGUCGCAAGACCAAAGAGGGGGACCUUCGGGCCUCUUGCCAUCGGAUGUGCCCAGAUGGGAUUAGCUUGUUGGUGGGGUAACGGCUCACCAAGGCGACGAUCCCUAGCUGGUCUGAGAGGAUGACCAGCCACACUGGAACUGAGACACGGUCCAGACUCCUACGGGAGGCAGCAGUGGGGAAUAUUGCACAAUGGGCGCAAGCCUGAUGCAACCAUGCCGCGUGUAUGAAGAAGGCCUUCGGGUUGUAAAGUACUUUCAGCGGGGAGGAAGGGAGUAAAGUUAAUACCUUUGCUCAUUGACGUUACCCGCAGAAAAAGCACCGGCUAACUCCGUGCCAACAACCGCGGUAAUACUGGAG